rfam:Neisseria weaveri LMG 5135 NW5135.2_3, whole genome shotgun sequence.
UGCCUGCAUUAAGAGUUGGGAAUCAAUCCAUGCCAACCUGCUUUUUACAUGAAAAGGUAAGGUGGACGACUGAUCAGUCGAUGUGGCCCGCAGGGGCAAUACGAACAACCCGCA